GCAGAUCAGUCACACUGCACUACAAAGGAUCUCUAGUACUGCGAGUGAGCGGAGAUUAGCUCAAUUCAAAUCUGGCCGCUUUUGUGGACCCGAUUUUGUGUCUGUGAAAAUUUUUUUCCGCCUGUGCUAGUCUACUCGUCUUCCAACUCCGAUUACCGCUUUGGAUAAUUUCCUUAUAGGGGGAAAGACCCAUUCGUGUUUACCCACCAUUUCUUAAAAUGUCUUUUUUAUUGAUACUUCAGAUUCGGAUUGGUUGAAAAUGCCAUCCAAAGACAAGGUGGUGAACUCCAUCCAAGGCUAAAUACUGGCCCGGGUCCAAUAAUAAACAACUACCUUGAGGGAAAGUUGAAAAGUACUCUGAUUGAGAGUAAAUAAUACGUGAAGCUGCCUGCUGCAAGCUGGUGGAGUCUUCUUCUUAGAGGAGAAUUGGCUACGGAGAUUUCCUUAUGUUAUUGAACCACGGGGUGUUCAGCUUGAAAAUGACUGGAUACUUCGCGAGCGCAAGAGUUCCGGGUUGUGCACUUGUUUCGUUCUUAUGGAUCGGUCACUCUCUUGACUGUUUCUCACCCUUAAAUCACUUCAAUGCACAUAUAUUCAAUGAUAAUUAACUGUGUGCUCGUGGACUAAGGUUCACUGGCCAUAGAAUGGCAGGUGCAGAUAUGAAGACCUCGUGUUUUCAUGUUUAUUAUAUUGGUGUUAAGCCUUGCUGAUUAUCAUAGUUUCAUAAAAUUAAUAAUGUAUAUUGUUCUUAUAUCAUGUAACGUAGGUUGUAUUGAUGAGAGCUGUGGUGCCGAGUAGACGUUCCCCCGACCCGUCUGAACACCGACCAAGGGGUAAUUU
rnacentral:rRNA from 1 species